UUCUUCAUCUGGAGCUUUAUUGGGUAUUAUGUUUGGACUAGUAUUUACUAGUUUGAUGAUUGUUUAAAGGGGAAAUUGCCAGGAGACAAGAAAUAGCAGUGAAAAGGCUUUCAAGAGCAUCUGCCCAGGGGCUUGAAGAAUUUCUGAAUGAGGUUAUGGUGAUUUCUAAUGUCCAACACCGAAACCUUGUUAGACUUCUUGGCUGCUGCACUGAAGGAGAUGAAAAGAUGUUGGUCUACGCGUACCUGCCAAAUAAAAGCUUGGAUGCCUUUCUCUUUGAUUAGAUCAUGCUACUGCCCCUUCUCUUAUCUAUAGUUGCUGAAAUUUUAUCGCUCCACAUCAAUUGUCUCUUACCUUUUGUUUUCUGUCUUGGAUGCUAUUCAUUUAGAUCCUGUCAAGCGGGAUUCUCUAACUUGGAGGAGACACUUUAGCAUUCUUGAAGGGAUUGCCAGAGGCCUUCUUUACCUCACAGGGAUUCUAGAUUAUGAAUUAUUCAUCGGGACCUUUAAGGCAAGUAACAUUUUAUUAAAUGAAGACAUGAAUCCUAAAAUUUUAGAUUUUGGUAUGGCCAAGAUAUUUCAAGGCAAUCAGGAUAAAGCCAACACGGUCAGGGUUGCUGGAAGAUAGUAAAUAGCCCUUGCUUUCUCCAAGUUCCCUUGGAUCCAGUAUUUAUUUCUGUCUCAAUGACAAACUGCAGUGGCUAUAUAUCUCCUUAGUAUGCAAUGGAAGGGAUUUUUUCAGAGAAGUCCGAUGUAUUCAGCUUUGGAGUAUUAUUAUUAGAGAUUAUAAGCGGGGAUAAAGAAUGCGGGCUUUUGUCAUGAUGAACAAUCUUUGAGCCUUUUAGGACACGCAUGGAAGUGGAAUGAAGACAACAUGGAAGCAUUUAUAGAUGGGAGUAUGUCAGAAGAAUGCUACCAAGAGGAGAUAUAGAGAUGCUGUUAUGUGUGCAAGAAUUAGCCAAAGAUCGGCCAUCCAUUUCAAUUGUCGUUUCUAUGCUCUGUAGUGAAAUUGCUCAUCUUCCUCCCCCAAAGCCACCUGCAUAUAGUGAGAGGCAGAUUACAAUAGAUACAGAGUCCUCCAGGAGCCAAAACUUGUGUUCAGUGAACCGAGUAACUGUUACAAACGUCCAAGCCCGGUAGAAAUUAGGUUAGAGAAAAUUGAAUCUUUAUUUGUAAUGUAUAUUUUGAUGAUUUCUGUGGGAAGACUCUGCUCGUCCUCUUUUCAAGCGGCCCAUGAAGCUAUAGUUACAAGAAACUAUCAGUUUUGUUGAUUUUGAUACUUUAUUACUCAAGCAAAAUCUCUACACCUUGAAAUAAAAACAUGCAGAACAGAGAAAUCUCAUUGGAAAUUAGAAUAUUAAUACUUUAUACUCUUCUAUGGAUUGAAUUGUUUCUG